GGGGACAGCAUAGCUGCAGACUCAUGUGGUCUGCCCCUCUCAUAUGCAAGCCUUUCACAACGGGACACACAGAGGAGGGAGAGCCCCUUUGGACAGAUUGUAUACAAUGCUCUCUGCAGAGGUUCCUCUGAUCCUGCCACUGCACAGAUUUACUGCUCCCUGCAUCCAGAGUGGAAGGAGCAGGAGGUUCACUCCACUCGCUCCUUCUGCAACAGCACUGGAAUCAGAACUUUGGAAUCGGAAGCAGUGAGUGAAAACUCCACUUGGGAAUCAAGUCCCCUGUAGCAGGGCUGUACAGAUUACUCCACCUUGCCACGUGUCAUGGGUUUUUAAAAUUUGAAAGGUCUGAUAAUAGCUACAAGGACCUGGCCAAUAUUGAGCAAGAGGAAGCAGACCCGGGAUUGAUAAAUCAUAAGGGUUUUCCUAUAUAAGAAGGAUACAGAAUCAUCAUAGAAGCACUUGUUUGAUGCUUUAGAAAAGGAAAAGCCACAAGCUAAACAGGAAGACAUGCAAUUCUCAAUCACAGCAGCUCUUCGAAGGUGAAUUUCUGUUUACCUAAGAGCGCUUCCCACCAGGAGGAUUUAACUAAGCCAGGGGUGGUCAACCUGUGGCUCCGGAGCCACAUGCGGCUCUUCAGAGGUUAAUAUGCGGCUCCUUGUAUAGGCACCGACUCCGGGGCUGGAGCUACAGACGCCAACUAUCCAAUGUGCUACAGGGUGCUCACUGCUCAACCCCUGGCUCUGCCCUAGGCCCCGGCCCGACUCCACUCCUUUCCCCAAGGCCCUCGCCCCUUCCCCUGAGUCAGCCGCGUCUUUGCUCCUCCUCCCCUCCCCCAAGCCACCACAAAACAGCUGAUUGUGGCAGGCAGGAGGCACAAGGAUGGAGGGUUACGUGCUUAUUGGCGGUGCUGCUGUUGGGUGGCAGAUACUGGGGGAGGAAGGGAGCUGACAGGGGGGGCUGCUGACCUGUUACUGUGGCUCUUUGGUAAUGCAAGCUUCUUCUUAGGCUCAGUUUGGUCACCCCUGAACUAAAUUCUCACAACCCGAGACAUCACAUUAAUAUGAACUAACAAAAGUCCACUUUGGCAUGCCUCUGCUGUUUUUUUUGUUUUUGUCAAAAAUAUACAGCCUAGACAACAAUGCAAUUGUAUUAUUUAAAUUUAACAACCUUCUCAGGCAAAAGAGUUUACAACACAGGUCUUAAAUUUUUCAGAGAACAUUUUGGAACGGGCCACAAUAUUAAUAAUUAUUAUAUACAUGCCACAUUUCUUGUGUUCUGUCUAUAACUGUAGCAUUUGUAUUAGUUCAUUAAAACAUCAUGUUUUAAUGUGAAACACUACAGCAUUUUUUAUAAUCUAAAAAGAAUAAUAAACAUUAAAAUAACUUCCGUUUUAUAUCAUCUUUCAUUUUUUCCUCCAGAAGGUUCUUCAGCACGUGCAUAUAGGGGAAUGCUGCCAUUUCAAGAGGUGGGGAAAGAGAGAGAGAGAGAGAGAAAAUGUGUGUGAGAGAGAUGUACCUCAGUCCACAUAAGAGAAGUGGUGCUGGUCUGCUAAGGACUGAAAAGAGCAUAGGUUGCUCCUGUCCCGUUGAUUUUCCCUCAAUUUUAUAACAUUCAUAAUCAAGGAAUCCU